CUACCCUUGACAUGGCAGGAAUCCCGAAGAGAUUUGGGAGUGCUCGCAAGAGAACCUGCACACAGGUGCUGCAUGGCUGUCGUCAGCUCGUGUCGUGAGAUGUUGGGUUAAGUCCCGCAACGAGCGCAACCCUUGUCAUUAGUUGCUACGAAAGGGCACUCUAAUGAGACUGCCGGUGACAGACCGGAGGAAGGUGGGGAUGACGUCAAGUCCUCAUGGCCCUUAUGGGUAGGGCUUCACACGUCAUACAAUGGUACAUACAGAGGGCCGCCAACCCGCGAGGGGGAGCUAAUCCCAGAAAGUGUAUCGUAGUCCGGAUUGUAGUCUGCAACUCGACUACAUGAAGUUGGAAUCGCUAGUAAUCGCGGAUCAGCAUGUCGCGGUGAAUA
rnacentral:rRNA from 1 species